rnacentral:tRNA from 1 species
UAGCCUAGUGGUUAAGGCUAUCGAUCGCCAAUCCGGAGACGGCGGGUUCGAUUCCCGC